UACGUAGGGACCGGGCGUUGUCCGGAUUCAUUGGGCGUAAAGAGCUCGUAGGCGGCUAUUCAAGUCGAACGUGAAAUCUCGGAGCUCAACUCCGAAACUGCGUUCGAUACUGGGUAGCUAGAGUCUGGUAGGGGGAUCUGGAAUUCCUGGUGUAGCGGUGGAAUGCGCAGAUAUCAGGAGGAACACCGGUGGCGAAGGCGGGAUCCUGGGCCAGUACUGACGCUGAGGAGCGAAAGCGUGGGGAGCAAACAGG
rnacentral:rRNA from 1 species